GUCUAUGACCAUACAACCCUGAAUGUGCCCAAUGUUACCAAUGUUGGAAGCUAAGCAGGGUUGGGUCUGGUUAAUACUUGGGUAAGAGACUGCCUGGGAAUACCUGUAAGCAUAAGCA
rnacentral:rRNA from 1 species